CAUGCAAGUCGAACGAAGCUUGACGGAUGAUUUCUUCGGAAUGAAACCAGAUAUGACUUAGUGGCGGACGGGUGAGUAACACGUGAGCAACCUGCCUUUCAGAGGGGGAUAACGGCUGGAAACGGUCGCUAAUACCGCAUGACGUGUUCGGAUGGCAUCAUCUGAACAUCAAAGAUUUAUCGCUGAAAGAUGGGCUCGCGUCUGAUUAGAUAGUUGGUGGGGUAACGGCCUACCAAGUCGACGAUCAGUAGCCGGACUGAGAGGUUGAACGGCCACAUUGGGACUGAGAUACGGCCCAGACUCCUACGGGAGGCAGCAGUGGGGAAUAUUGCACAAUGGGGGAAACCCUGAUGCAGCAACGCCGCGUGAAGGAUGACGGUUUUCGGAUUGUAAACUUCUUUUCUUAGUGACGAAGACAGUGACGGUAGCUAAGGAAUAAGCAUCGGCUAACUACGUGCCAGCAGCCGCGGUAAUACGUAGGAUGCAAGCGUUAUCCGGAUUUACUGGGUGUAAAGGGAGCGCAGGCGGGACUGCAAGUUGGAUGUGAAAUACCGUGGCUUAACCACGGAACUGCAUCCAAAACUGUAGUUCUUGAGUGAAGUAGAGGCAAGCGGAAUUCCGAGUGUAGCGGUGAAAUGCGUAGAUAUUCGGAGGAACACCAGUGGCGAAGGCGGCUUGCUGGGCUUUAACUGACGCUGAGGCUCGAAAGUGUGGGGAGCAAACAGGAUUAGAUACCCUGGUAGUCCACACUGUAAACGAUGAUAGCUAGGUGUGGGGGGUCUGACCCCUUCCGUGCCGGAGUUAACGCAAUAAGCUAUCCACCUGGGGAGUACGACCGCA
rnacentral:rRNA from 1 species